rnacentral:misc_RNA from 1 species
UAGCUGUGAUAAGCGGUGUGAAAUGCAGGACACGCAUUCGAACGCAUAUUGCGGCCUCGGGUCUUUCCCGGGGCUUCGUUUGUCUGAGGGUCGGUAUGAAAUUAAACACAUUGUACAAGUCUGUCUCAGUCGAGUAUGCCUCUGUAGCUGUACUCGUCAGACUCAUCCCGACACCAGACCACGAGCUAAGGCUCAGCGAUCUAUUGCGUUCGAAUGCGUGUUGUCGUUCACUCAUCGGCGACAUACGGCGCGAACACUACACGUUCCGCCGUGCCUUUGACUGUGUCCGACGCCUAAGACACGUUCAUUCACUAAGAGCGUACGUUGAGCUAGUGGUCAACGGUGGCAGAACACUGAUCUAUCCACGAUCAACUCUAUUCUGUCGACCUCAGAUCAAGCG